GUGAACGCUGGCGGCGUGUCUAACACAUGCAAGUCGAACGAUGAUAGAGAGCUUGCUCUCUUGAUUAGUGGCGCACGGGUGAGUAUACCAUAGAUAAUGUACCUCUUAGUUCGGGAUAGCCACUGGAAACGGUGAUUAAUACCGGAUACUCCUUCUUACUCUAAGGUAAGUCGGGAAAGUUUUUUCGCUAAGAGAUCAGUCUAUGUCCUAUCAGCUAGUUGGUGAGGCAAUGGCUCACCAAGGCUAUGACGGGUAUCUGGUUUGAGAGGCUGAUCAGACACACUGGAACUGCGACACGGUCCAGCCUCCUACGGGAGUCAGCAGUGAGGAAUAUUGCACAAUGGAGGAAACUCUGCUGCAGCAACGCUGCGUGGAGGAUGACGCAUUUCGGUGUGUAAACUCCUUUUAAGAGGGAAGAUAAUGACGGUACCUCUUGAAUAAGCACCGGCUAACUCCGU
rnacentral:rRNA from 1 species